AAGUCGUAACAAGGUUUUCGUAGGUGAACCUGCGGAAGGAUCAUUAGUGCAAUGUUGGAUUUCUCUGCAAAGAGUUCAAUCCUUUUCACUAUUCAUACACACUUGUGCAUCUGUUCUUUUAUUUCUUAACAAACUCUAAAGUUUGUUAACGAAUUUAAAAUACACAUUUGAUUAUAUUAAUAACAGUUGUUUAUGAGAUAAAAUUGAAAAGGAAAGUAAAAA
rnacentral:misc_RNA from 1 species